rnacentral:rRNA from 1 species
UACGGUAGGGGGCAAGCGUUUGUCCGGAAUCAUUGGGGCGUAAAAGCGCGUUGUAGGCGGCUUUGGUAAGUCCGCUCUGAAAGCCCCGGGGGCUCAACCCCCGGGAGCGGGGUGGGAUACUGUCAAGCUCGAGUCCGGGAAGAGGCGAGUGGGAAUUCCUGGUGUAGCGGUGAAAUGCGCAGAUAUCAGGAGGAACACCGGUGGCGAAGGCGGGGUCUCUGGGGCCGAUACUGACGUGAGGGAGCG